AGAGCCUUUCUUGGAUUCCAAUGCUCUGCUCGAACGAAUUAAAUAGCCAUUUCUUCCCCCCUCCCCCUCUCUCUUACCUGCACACAUUUUGCCUUUGCUUCUUGCAACAGCCCAAAAGAAAGAGCAGAGUUUUCUCUCUCAUUCAGCUCCUGUUGCUCGGAUCUGUCAAGCAACAUUCCCUCCCUUCCCCCCCUUCCAUUAUUGUGUACCCCUGCUUCAACUCCAAGUCAUGAGUAAAGAAGAGAUUUUGAAGAUCCAGACCUGCGUUGUGAACAUACACUGUGACGGGUGUAAGCAGAAGAUU